rnacentral:rRNA from 1 species
CCUACGGGCGGCAGCAGUGGGGAAUAUUGGACAAUGGGGGGAACCCUGAUCCAGCCAUGCCGCGUGUGUGAAGAAGGCCCUCGGGUUGUAAAGCACUUUCAGUGAGGAAGAACGCCUGGUGGUUAAUACCCAUCAGGAAAGACAUCACUCACAGAAGAAGCACCGGCUAACUCCGUGCCAGCAGCCGCGGUAAUACGGAGGGUGCGAGCGUUAAUCGGAAUUACUGGGCGUAAAGGGCGCGUAGGUGUCUUGAUAAGCCGGUUGUGAAAGCCCCGGGCUCAACCUGGGAACGGCAUCCGGAACUGUCAAGCUAGAGUGCAGGAGAGGAAGGUAGAAUUCCCGGUGUAGCGGUGAAAUGCGUAGAGAUCGGGAGGAAUACCAGUGGCGAAGGCGGCCUUCUGGACUGACACUGACACUGAGGUGCGAAAGCGUGGGUAGCAAACAGGAUUAGAUACCCUGGUAGUC